CUGUAUCACAUCUCCCCUGGACCCACAUAGCAGUGGACUUCAUCACAGACCUGCCUGCUUCGCAAGGGUACAAUGUCAUAAUGAACGUAUCAGCUCUGAAGUACAGCAUUCUUGUAAUGAGGAGGUUGGUGAAGAGCUUCUCUCAGCAAAUUCUGUCAAUGAAGAAAAGACAGUAUUAUGAUGCCAUCACCUGUAGUGGUCUGAUAUGUAAGUUUGUUUAAUUCAUCACUUCACUAAAAUUAAAGAGAUGAUGACUUAAACUAGCUCA